UACGGAGGCAGCAGUGGGGAAUAUUGCACAAUGGGCGAAAGCCUGAUGCAGCUAUGCCGCGUGUAUGAAGAAGGCCUUAGGGUUGUAAAGUACUUUCAUCGGGGAGGAAAAAACAAAACUAAUAAUUUUAUUUCUUGACGUUACCCGAAAAAGAAGCACCGGCUAACUCCGUGCCAGCAGCCGCGGUAAUACGGAGGGUGCUAGCGUUAAUCAGAAUUACUGGGCGUAAAGAGCACGUAGGUGGUUUUUUAAGUCAGAUGUGAAAUCCCUGGGCUUAACCUAGGAACUGCAUUUUGAAACUGAAAUACUAGAGUAUCGUAGAGGGAGGUAGAAUUCUAGGUGUAGCGGUGAAAUGCGUAGAUAUCUGGAGGAAUACCUGUGGCGAAAGCGGCCUCCUAAACGAAUACUGACACUGAGGUGCGAAAGCGUGGGGAGCAAACAGGGAUUAGAUACC
rnacentral:rRNA from 1 species